ACUACUCAGUACCUGCUCUCUCCUCAUCCUAGUUUCCUGUGGACCAGACGUGUGUUAUUUGGUCCCAAGAGCCAAGAGAAUGCCAUAAACAUUGGCCACCCAAACGGAUGACGAAAUUAAAUCUCAGAAAGGCAUCUGACCUAACAAAGCUGCCCCGUGCAUCUCUUCUCCCGUACACAGAUGUACUGAACACCUCCUCUGUGCCAGGAGCCCUGUCAGAUGAUGACGACAGACCCUGUAUUAAAGGCCCAAUGAGUCCCGAGGCGAUGUCUUUUGGAGCGUCAAUGUGGGAAUGGUAAAUCCGGGUCACGCAGUUGCUGUCUUCCUCGCCAGGACCUUGUUCUGGGUUGGCGUGC